UACGAAGGGUGCAAACGUUGCUCGGAAUCAUUGGGCGUAAAGCGCACGUAGGCGGCUCCGCAAGUCGGAUGUGAAAUCCCUCGGCUCAACCGAGGACGUGCAUCCGAAACUGCAGAGCUUGAGUAUGGAAGAGGGUCGCGGAAUUCCCGGUGUAGAGGUGAAAUUCGUAGAUAUCGGGAGGAACACCAGUGGCGAAGGCGGCGACCUGGGCCAAUACUGACGCUGAGGUGCGAAAGCGUGGGGAGCAAACAGG
rnacentral:rRNA from 1 species